UACGUAGGGUGCAAGCGUUGUCCGGAAUUAUUGGGCGUAAGAGCUCGUAGGCGGUCUGUUGCGUUCGGCUGUGAAAACCCGGGGCUCAACUCCGGGCCUGCAGCCGAUACGGGCAGACUAGAGUUCGGCAGGGGAGACUGGAAGUCCUGGUGUAGCGGUGAAAUGCGCAGAUAUCAGGAGGAACACCGGUGGCGAAGGCGGGAUCUCU
rnacentral:rRNA from 1 species